rnacentral:rRNA from 1 species
CCUACGGGAGGCAGCAGUGAGGAAUAUUGGUCAAUGGACGCAAGUCUGAACCAGCCAUGCCGCGUGCAGGAAGACGGCUCUAUGAGUUGUAAACUUCUUUUAUAUGGGAAUAAAAUGUUCCACGUGUGGGAUUUUGUAUGUACCAUAUGAAUAAGGAUCGGCUAACUCCGUGCCAGCAGCCGCGGUAAGAUGGAGGAUCCGAGCGUUAUCCGGAUUGAUUGGGUUUAAAGGGAGCGUAGGUGGAUUGUUAAGUCAGUUGUGAAAGUUUGGGGCUCAACCGUAAAAUUGCAGUUGAAACUGGCAGUCUUGAGUACAGUAGAGGUGGGCGGAAUGCGAGGUGUAGCGGUGAAAUGCUUAGAUAUCACGAAGAACUCCGAUUGCGAAGGCAGUUCACUGGACUGCAACUGACACUGAGGCUCGAAAGUGUGGGUAUCAAACAGGAUUAGAUACCCUUGUAGUC